UACAGAGGGUGCAAGCGUUAAUCGGAAUUACUGGGCGUAAAGCGUGCGUAGACGGUUAUUUAAGUCAGGUGUGAAAGCCCCGGGCUCAACCUGGGAAUUGCAUUUGAGACUGAAUAGCUAGGGUGCGGAAGAGGGAAGCGGAAGUUUCCGGUGUAGCGGUGAAAUGCGUAGAUAUCGGAAGGAACACCAGUGGCGAAAAGCGGCUUCCUGGUCCAGCACCGACGUUCAGGCACGAAAGCGUGGGGAGCAAACAGG
rnacentral:rRNA from 1 species